rnacentral:rRNA from 1 species
AACGAACGCUGGCGGCAGGCCUAACACAUGCAAGUCGAACGAGAAGCCACCUUCGGGUGGUGGACAGUGGCAGACGGGUGAGUAACGCGUGGGAACGUGCCUUUCGGUUCGGGACAACCCAGGGAAACUUGGGCUAAUACCGGAUACGCCCUUCGGGGAAAGGAUUCAUUGCCGAAAGAUCGGCCCGCGUCGGAUUAGCUAGUUGGUGGGGUAAAAGCCUACCAAGGCGACGAUCCGUAGCUGGUCUGAGAGGANGACCAGCCACACUGGGACUGAGACACGCCCAGACUCCUACGGGAGGCAGCAGUGGGGAAUCUUGCGCAAUGGGCGAAAGCCUGACGCAGCGACGCCGCGUGA